ACGCUCGACACCUACGUGAGGCAGCAGUGGGGAAUAUUGCACAAUGGGGGAAACCCUGAUGCAGCGACGCCGCGUGAGCGAAGAAGUAUUUCGGUAUGUAAAGCUCUAUCAGCAGGGAAGAAACUGACGGUACCUGACUAAGAAGCACCGGCUAAAUACGUGCCAGCAGCCGACGGUAAUCUGAGGCGGGCUGGACAAGGC
rnacentral:rRNA from 1 species